rnacentral:rRNA from 1 species
GAUGAACGCUGGCGGCGUGCCUAACACAUGCAAGUCGAACGGAAAGGCCCGGCUUUUGUUGGGCGGUUGUUUGGGGAACGGGGGAGUAACACGCGUGGAACCCCCCCCUGUAUUUCGGGUAACUUUUCGGAAAUGGGGCGCAUACCGGGGAGGAUCUUCUGCACCAUGGGGGUGGUUAGAGAAAUUCGGCGGUUGGGGAUGGACUAGAGGCUUAUGAGCUUGUUGGGGAGGUAGGGGCGUACCAAGGCUUCGACGGAUAGCCGGCAUGGGAGGGUUAACAGCCACAAUGGGACUGAGAUACGGCCCAGACUCCUACGGGAGGCAGCAGUGGGGAAUAUUGCACAAUGGGCGGAAGCCUGAUGCAGCAACGCCGCGUGCGGGAUGACGGGCUACGGGUUGUAAACCGAUUUCGCCUGUGACGAAGCGUGAGUGACGGUAAUGGGUAAAGAAGCACCGGCUAACUACGUG